GACGUAGGGCGCGAGCGUUAAUCGGAAUUACUGGGCGUAAAGCGUGCGCAGGCGGUUAUGUAAGACAGGUGUGAAAUCCCCGGGCUUAACCUGGGAACUGCAUUUGUGACUGCAUAGCGUAGAGUACGGUAGAGGGGGAUGGAAUUCCGCGUGUAGCAGUGAAAUGCGUAGAUAUGCGGAGGAACACCGAUGGCGAAGGCAAUCCCCUGGACCUGUACUGACGCUCAUGCACGAAAGCG
rnacentral:rRNA from 1 species